GACGAACGCUGGCGGCGUGCUUAACACAUGCAAGUCGAACGGAAAGGCCCUGCUUUUGUUGGGUGCUCUAGUGGCGAACGGGUGAGUAACACGUGAGUAACCUGCCCUUGACUUUGGGAUAACUUCAGGAAACUGGGGCUAAUACCGGAUAGGAGCUCCUGCUGCAUGGUGGGGGUUGGUAAGUUUCGGCGGUUGGUGAUGGACUCGCGGCUUAUCAGCCUGUUGGUGGGGUAGUGGCUUACCAAGGCUUUGACGGGUAGCCGGCCUGAGAGGGUGACCGGCCACGUUGGGACUGAGAUGCGGGCCAGCGUGCUAGGGGAGGCAGCAGUGGGGAAUAUUGCACAAUGGGCGGAAGCCUGAUGCAACAACGCCGCGUGCGGGAUGAAGGCCUUCGGGUUGUAAACCGCUUUCGCCUGUGACGAAGCGUGAGUGACGGUAAUGGGUAAAGAAGCACCGGCUAACUACGUG
rnacentral:rRNA from 1 species